AUUGAACGCUGGCGGCAUGCUUUACACAUGCAAGUCGAACGGCAGCGCGGGCUUCGGCCUGGCGGCGAGUGGCGAACGGGUGAGUAAUACAUCGGAACGUGCCCAGUAGUGGGGGAUAGCUCGGCGAAAGCCGGAUUAAUACCGCAUACGACCUGAGGGUGAAAGCGGGGGAUCUUCGGACCUCGCGCUAUUGGAGCGGCCGAUGGCAGAUUAGCUAGUUGGUGGGGUAAAGGCCUACCAAGGCGACGAUCUGUAGCUGGUCUGAGAGGACGACCAGCCACACUGGGACUGAGACACGGCCCAGACUCCUACGGGAGGCAGCAGUGGGGAAUUUUGGACAAUGGGCGAAAGCCUGAUCCAGCAAUGCCGCGUGUGUGAUGAAAGCCUUCGGGUUGUAAAGCACUUUUGGCGGGAACGAAAAGGACUGUGCCAAUACCACGGUUCGAUGACGGUACCCGCAGAAUAAGCACCGGCUAACUACGUG
rnacentral:rRNA from 1 species